rnacentral:rRNA from 1 species
GACGAACGCUGGCGGCGUGCUUAACACAUGCAAGUCGAACGAUGAACCGAGAGCUUGCUCUUGGGGAUUAGUGGCGAACGGGUGAGUAACACGUGAGUAACCUGCCCUGGACUCUGGGAUAACCCCGAGAAAUCGGAGCUAAUACCGGAUAGGACCCUGUACCGCAUGGUGUGGGGUGGAAAGUUUUUUCGGUUUGGGAUGGACUCGCGGCCUAUCAGCUUGUUGGUGAGGUAAUGGCUCACCAAGGCGUCGACGGGUAGCCGGCCUGAGAGGGUGACCGGCCACACUGGGACUGAGACACGGCCCAGACUCCUACGGGAGGCAGCAGUGGGGAAUCUUGCGCUAAUGCGGGAAACCGUGACGCAGCGACGCCGCGUGGGGGAAGAAGGCCUUCGGGUUGUAAACCUCUUUCAGGAGGGACGAAGCUACUCGGGUUAAUAGCCCAGAGGGUGACGGUACCUCCAGAAGAAGCCCCGGCUAACUACGUGCCA